rnacentral:rRNA from 1 species
UACGGGGGGGGCAAGCGUUGUUCGGAAUUACUGGGCGUAAAGGGCUCGUAGGCGGACAACUAAGUCAGACGUGAAAUCCCUCGGCUUAACCGGGGAACUGCGUCUGAUACUGGAUGGCUUGAGUUUGGGAGAGGGAUGCGGAAUUCCAGGUGUAGCGGUGAAAUGCGUAGAUAUUGGGAAGAACACCGGUGGCGAAGGCGGCGACCUGGUCCUUGACUGACGCUUAGGCGCGAAAGCGUGGGGAGCAAACAGG